GACGGAAGUGGUGCUGCCCACGUGGCAGACUCUUGCCCUGGUCUCAGAUUCCCGGCCCUGGCCCCCGGCCUGAUUUACUCCUGUAGCUCCGCCUGACUAGUGACACCGCCUCUGCUCAGCUCCCAUAUCACCUCCUUGAUGACAUCUCAGGUCCCAGGCACAGGGAUCAAACUCUGGACCUUGUGCUUGCGAGGCAGGAGCUGGAACCACUGAGCUUACAGAGUAUUUUAAAUGCAUGGCAGCUUGGCUUUUAUUUUGAAGAGUCUAAAUAUGAAGAGAUGAUCUCGACCUUAGAAACUAUCCAGACCUUGUAAGAGAGAUCCAAGGACAUAUCCAGAACUUAAAUAUAUUCUUGAAUACUUGGAAAAGAAACAUGAACAAGAUCCAAACAGGUUAAGGAAGUGAAUCACAAGCUAUAUAAAAUUGAGGUAAACUGGAAAACUCAAAGGAAAGUACUGUAUCUACUCCCAGCCGCCCAGAACAAAAGAUCACAUUAAAAAAUCCAUGGUGUGAAUUCCCUCCUUGGGCCAGAAGGGAGGAAGACGGGUUUCCCUGCAAGUCUGCCGACUGCACCCUGCCCUCCCUGAUGUAGCAGAGCUCCUCAGUGCAGAAGCAGAUACAAGUGCGUUCCUCGGACCCUGAGGCCCAGCCCCAAACCUGCUCUCAGCAGGCCGAGUGGAGCCAUGAUGGGCCCCUGUGGACAUACACCUGCAGGGAGCGGGCUCCUCCCGGAAGUCACGUCUUCGGUUGGCUGAG
rnacentral:lncRNA from 1 species